CCACUUUCAGCUAUGUGGGUAUGGAGCAGGCAGAAGACUGGCUUUAACCAGGACUGGAUUUUCUGCCAUGGACAGAGGCUGCUUCAGUGAAACUGCACUAGUUCAGCCCUUGCCUCCUUCCUUUGGAAUAGAUGCUGCUCUCUGGAAACUGACAGUUGCUGACAGAGGGGCUGCUGCGCUGAUGAAGGGAGCCCUGUGACUGCCCGUCUGUGGCUCUCCUGCUGACUACUGUCCCACCUGCAGUGGAC
rnacentral:lncRNA from 1 species